GAUGAACGCUGGCGGCGUGCCUAAUACAUGCAAGUCGAGCGAACGGACGAGAAGCUUGCUCCUCUGACGUUAGCGGCGGACGGGUGAGUAACACGUGGAUAACCUACCUAUAAGACUGGGAUAACUUCGGGAAACCGGAGCUAAUACCGGAUGAUAUUUUGAACCGCAUGGUUCAAUAGUGAAAGACGGUCUUGCUGUCACUUAUAGAUGGAUCCGCGCUGCAUUAGCUAGUUGGUAAGGUAACGGCUUACCAAGGCAACGAUGCAUAGCCGACCUGAGAGGGGGAGCGGCAACACUGGAACUGAGACACGGUCCAGAGUCCUAAGGGAGGCAGAAGGAGGGAAGAUUCCGCAAUGUGCGAAAGCCGGACGGAGCAAAGCCGAGUGAGUGAUGAAGGUCUUCGGAUCGUAAAACUCUGUUAUUAGGGAAGAACAAAUGUGUAAGUAACUAUGCACGUCUGGACGGUACCUAAUCAGAAAGCCACGGCUAACUACGUG
rnacentral:rRNA from 1 species